UCUUCAAAUGUUGCAUGUUCCUUGUAGAAC
rnacentral:piRNA from 1 species